rnacentral:rRNA from 1 species
CGCAUCUGUGCAUGCAGCAUAUCAAUAGCGGAGGAAAAGAAACUAACAAGGAUUCCCCUAGUAACGGCGAGUGAAGCGGGAAGAGCUCAAAUUUGAAAUCUUAAAGGGUUUCCCUUUACGAAUUGUAGUUUAAAGAAGUGUUUUCUGUUGAGGUUUUGGUAAAAGUUCUUUGGAAUAGGACAUCAUAGAGGGUGAGAAUCCCGUAUUUGACCUUUACUUUCAACUUUGUGAUACACUUUCAAAGAGUCGGAUUGUUUGGGAAUGCAGUCCAAAAUGGGUGGUAAAUUUCAUCUAAAGCUAAAUAUUGGCGAGAGACCGAUAGCGAACAAGUACCGUGAGGGAAAGAUGAAAAGAACUUUGAAAAGAGAGUUAAACAGUACGUGAAAUUGUCAAAAGGGAAGCGUUUGACACCAGUGUUGUUUUUCUGAAAAUCAAUUAAAGAACUGUUUAUGCUAAGUUGUUUAGACUUUAUCAGCUAACUGUUUAGUUUUGAGCUUUUCUUUAAUGCACUUUUCAGUUAACAAGUCAACAUCAAUUUCUUUUGCUGUAAAAAAGCUUGAGGAAGGUGGCUUGAGAUUCGUCUUAAGUGUUUAUAGCCUCUUGCCUAUGCAGUCGGAGAGAUUGAGGUCUGCAGCGUAGAUCCUUCGGGGCUAAAUGCAUUUGUGCUAAGUUAUAGCAUUUUAUAGACAACUUGUUGACUAUGAUCUGUCUUGUAGCUUACUCGCUUAUGUUAUUUUACCUACGCUUAGGAUGUUGAACGCGCACAGAGUCUC